rnacentral:lncRNA from 1 species
UUUCUCUUUGAAUUCUAGCAUAUCCAAUAAAGAUGCAAUCAAUACCUUUUCUCAUAAUGUCUUUCGUUUAGGAUUUUGGAGGCGACAAUGAUAGCUCGGGGUUUCUUUGAUUAAGGUAAACCCACUCUUAACCUUCAGUUCAUCUCGUCUUCCUCCCUUUAUCCUAGAUUCGGUUGGAUUUGAUUUUGUAACAAGAGCGAUGAUUCUCUCUUAGCAGUCGAAAAUCCGAGGGCGAUGAAGGCCAGAAUCCGUCGCUGGCCAUGGAUUUUCCUCCGAUCUACUCUCUCAGCAUUUGACUGAAGAAUACGGAUGGUGAGUCGCUCAACUCUCCCUAAUCUUAAUCAUCUCUCGCUCGAAUGCUUAGAGGUUGGAUGAUGAUAUUAGUAAUGAUGCUUACUAGCCUCUGUACAGCAGCCUCCACUGCCCUUAUGUGGGUCUCCCGAUUCACAGUCGUCACCCUCUUUCUCCUGGAACCCUCAUCUGCGAAUUUCAUAGUCGCCGUUCCAUCCCAAAUUCAAUACUAAAUCGAAGAUCCCAGCUCUUGAUUGCCUUCGCCUCUCGACUCCAUCACAGUUGCAUCGGGACGCGAUCAUGCAUAGAUCGAUUCCCUCAUUUUAAGGUAAGCUCGGUUUCCCCCUCUGCUUGCAAUGAUUCUAAUUUGAACUAUGAUCUUUCUAACGAUCCUCGCCUCUUCUUUCCCAGUUCAGUUCGAUGUGGAAAUUCCGCCGGUAUCUUGGAGGGUCAAAGGCUUUACCAGCGACGCCAUGUCAGGUCUGAACUUGUACUCUCGUCAGUUUUUUUUAUUUAGAUUAAUCUUCUCUUUGAAGGAUUUUACGGUUAUUUCCCCAGGUGUGUAAAGAACACAGCGGGUUUGCUGUUCUAGUUGAUCAAGCGAUGUGUGCGGUUCUCAGUGAUCCUGAAAAAGAACAAGGUAAUGUAUUCUACGCUCUUCCUCUCCUCUCGAUUCCUAUCCCGAUGUAUCUAUGUAUCUCUGUUAUGAAUCCCUUCCUACCUUCUAAUUUUUCAAUAGGCUAUUCGAAGUGAAGAAGGCUGGUUAUGGACCAGAGGGAGCACGAGGAAUGGAGGACAACAAAACUUGAUGUCUGAGGGCUCCAUGAAAGUGAGGAAGGGGGGUCGAGAUUUAACUAGGGGGCGAAACUAGAAGGGCGGCCAGACAAGGUCAACAACACAGAGGUAAUACUCAAAAUUAUAAGCUCGGAUAGACAUGUGAUCGAGUAUUGCUUGUCCUUCUCAGCAACAAAGACUCGUGUGUAUUUUAUCGAGAUAAAAUUGGUCUACUUAGUCUUGAUUGGAAUGUCGAUUUGGCUGUUCAGGACAGGAGCAACUAAAGUGUGUUUGCAUCCAUGUUUUUUUCAUGGAAUAAAUAUACUAUCCUAUCUCAUUAAAGAAUCUAUGAUUACCAUGAUUCAUGUAUGCAGGCUAGGACUCGUAAAACCAAUGUUAUUCAAUUGGGCAUUCAUGAGUUGGCAUUAACCCAUCAUAUGUAUUUGCCAAACAAUCUGAAUUGCAUGUUUUGAUAUGACCAUCGUGGUGAAGAGCGAAGCUGGACCAAGAGAAGAUGAAGGACCAGGAUCGAGAACCUAGAAUCAUCAUGAAAGACCAACACAAAAAGAAGAAACAUAGAAAAUAGUACACAAUAAUAGUCAAAGGGAGUCCACAAUUUCCAAACAAGCAUCCAAAAUAACAAACAUCCACAAACUGUCAUAAAACACAACACAACACAAGUCUAGUCACACAAAAGAAACACAAACAAACCAUCAAGUCUAAAAAAAAGAGAGAGAGACAAAGGAACAUCACUCGAACAAUGGUGGAGGUGGUGGUGGCUGCUAGGAUGGGAAAUGGGGAUAAUACCCAUAGUAGCUUACCUCCGCGCUCAGAUGGUGGUAAUACCAUUGAUGUCCAUCUCUCGAAUCUUGGAAGUGGUCUUGUGGUGGGGGAGAGUAGUCGGGAUAGUGUUGAGGAAGUAAGAGUACACGUUCUGAUAUUUGGCCAUGUGGCCAGUCUGCCAACCCUACUUCUGUUGGAUCCAGUGCAUCUCCAUCUAUACUAUCUGAAUCUACUCCCCAACCCUCUAGAAAUUGCUACUCGUCUCACCUCUAAAGGCAUCAAAGUCGCUUCAUAACCCACUCAUAUCCUGUCUGAUGUACCCCAACUGCUCAUCAUGUGACUUCCUGAACUACUUAUCUCUCUGUGCCUCAUACUGAGCUCUCUCAUCAGAACACUAUUGAUGGAUAGCAAGAUGCUCCAUGACAGCCUGCAGAUCGGACAAAUACCCGAGCUGAAGUUGCGGUGUCGAUCUCCUUAACAAGCAAGUCCUGAACUCCAUUCCUUAGUAAUUAAUCCGGGUAGAAGUCAUAAGGUGGAGUCUCGAAGAUGCCCAACACUCCAUAAUUACGGACUGACAAGCUAACAUACCCUCCUUUGUAUAGUACGACAUGCAUUGAGUAGCUCUUCAAUUGCUUGAAGAGAGUGAGAACCAAGUCUCCCAAAUGCAUAUCGAUCUUAUCCUAGCAAUAGAAGAUGUACAUGUCUCGGUUAGUGAGCGCACUUGGAGAGCUUGAAGACGAACGGUGCGAGAUACCGUGGCGAGCAAACAGAUGGAUGAGACGAAGCAUUGGCUUGUGGGUUCGCAGCGCCUUAAAGACCCCAACUACAAACUGAGGCGCGUCUUUGAUAAUGCUACACCAAAAACCCUGCACAUCAUAGAGGGGGAGUCCGGAAACCAUGGCAAGACAAGCCAGCUUACCAUUGUUCAGCUCCUCAUUUGAAUGGAACCUGAGCAUUACCCCAAACUCAUGUGGGAACACUGUGUACAGCCUCCCUCCCAAGCGGAAGGAGACCACCCUCUGAGAGGUGGAAGUGUAUCUCCCGAUGUCAAGUGUGUAGAAGAACUCACGAACCGCGCGAGGAUAUGAAUACUCCUUCACCAUCAUCGCCCUCCAAAUAUUCUUGGUCCUCUUGUAAUAGGAAUGAAAGGGGAACAAGCCUGCUAGUUAACUCCUCAAAAACUAAGUGCCCCUGUUUGGAAACAGAAAGGUGUUGGAGAGUCGCAUAGAGCUUCCAAGACAUAAAGCAUCAAUCGCGAGGUUUUACGGAUCGACGGGCUCAGUAGGAGCUUCAAACAUGUGGUACUGCUGAGGUGGAACUGCAGGUGAGGAAGUACCUUGAGUCGUUUGCCCUGAGGAAGAAGAAUUCUCAUUUCCACUAUGCCUCUUGUUACACUUGGUAGACUUACCUUUAGGAGACAUCCUGAAAAAUAGUCAGCAAAUGUAGACUGCAAAUUGGGAAACAGGAUUCGGGAUUUCCCGUUUCCGUUCCCGUAUUAUUGAAAAAAAACUCGGGAAUUCCCAUUCCCAUUACCAAACUCAAAAUUCGGGUUUGGUUGGGGAAUAAAAUUUCAUGUUCGGUUUUUUGGUUCGAUUCUGGGAUUCCCAAAAUCCCAAAGUUUCUUAUUAUUUUCUAUUAUCGACAAAAGAAAAAACAUCGUAUAAGAAAUGAUUGAUUCAUACGUUAGGGCAUAGCUCAUUUUCGCUUCAAGACUGAAAUUACGGUUCGUGAAACCGAGAGGCCGAGAGUCCCCAUGUCCCUCAAUGGUGAUUCCCGAUGAUUCCCUCGACGGUUCAACCCCUCCUCUCUAGGGUGGCGAUUCCCAGUCUAGACGUCGGAUUCUUCUUCUUUUGCUACGAUGAUUCCCAACGAUUCCCUCAUUGUUCUGGAAUCUGAUUUAAGGUGAGAACACAUCUCCAACCCACUAUGGGUUUUAUUGUGAGGUUUUGAUUGUUUCUUAUUUCUUUGCGUAACAGUGGUCAUCGUCGAUUUGUACAGGUGCGGCUGUUGAUUCUGCGAACACACCUCUACUACUUUCGUCGGUGAACAACAUUCAAUUGAGGUGUGAAUAAUGAUUGAUUUAUGCUCCACUUUGGUUUUUGAUUAACUCUACAAUAGCUUUCUAUCUGCUAUCUCAAUUGUAAAAUCCUGCCAAAAGACAUUACAUUACAAGGAUGGCUUGUAAAAUCUAAGAAUAUAUGCUAAUGGCUUCAGUUAAAAUCAGGGUGAGUAUUGAGCUUGCUUCACUACUGUCUAUUGAAUACUCAGAACUGAAUUUUGGUCUUUCUUCAUCCCACUUAACUAUCUCCCUCGCAUAUUUAAGAGAUGAGUUGAUAGUGUCAGAUGCUAUAGAUUAUAUUGAUCCUGGGCCUAGUCGAAUAUGAUAAAGAUGAAGAGGGUGAAAAUGAAUAUGUUGAUUCUGUAAGUAUUCUUAAAUUUAUUUAUAGUUAGUAGAAUGGAAUAGUGCUCGAUAUUGUGACUGUGACUGAAUUCUGGCUGUUUGUUUUUCAAUUCUAUUUCUUGGUAUUGCAAUGGUUUUGCAUCACUCAUUUAAGAUAUAUGAGACUGUUGCAGUUUAUAGUUUCAAAACACAU